AGUCUGGUGCCAGCACCCGCGGUAAUUCCAGCUCUAAUAGCAUACGUUAAAGUUGUUGCGGUUAAAACGCUCGUAGUCGGCUUCAGAUCUUCAGAGUUCCGAGUCUGGUACCGGUUCGCUGCCCCGGUCAAGGGCACGCCGGCUGCUGGGCGAGGGAGGACGUUGGUCAAAUGCGCCCUCGGCUGUCUCUCCGGAGUCACAGGGCCAGGGGUUUCGGCCUCUGGUUCGGUCGUGGGUGCCAUUUACUAUGAUUAAACUGGCGUGAUCAAAGCAUGUCUUUCGACACGUACAGCACAGCAUAGCAUAAGCAAACUGGUUUGGUCCUGUUGCGGGGGCCAGGUUGGUAAAAGCGAAAGGGGUGUUCGAGGGUGACCGAAUUGCUGGGCGAGUGGUGAAAUACGUUGACCCUAGCAAGUCGACCAAAGGCGAAAGCAGUCAUCAAGGGCACGCCCGUUGAUCAAGAGCGAAAGUUAAGGGUUCGAAGACGAUCAGAUACCGUCGUAGUCUUAACUAUAAACGAUGCGGACCAGAGGUUAAGCCUCAUCCUUUGUACGAUAUUCCUAGCAUCUUUGCGAGAAAUCAUUGAGUUUUUGCGUUCUGGGGGGAGUAUGGUCGCAAGGCUGAAACUUAAAGGAAUUGACGGAAGAUCACCACCAGGAGUGGAAUCUGCGGCUUAAUUUGACGCAACACGGGGAAACUCACUCGGUCAGGACAUAGUAAGGAUUGACAGGUUGACGGUCCUUUCUUGAUUCUAUGGGUGGUGGUGCAUGGUCGUUCUUAGUUCGUGGAGUGAUCUGUCUGGUUAAUUCCGCUAACGGACGAGACCUCUCCUUAUUAACUAGUGCGGCUCGCGGCCGUAAGGGUGAAGUGGUGGAGCUGGUUAGGGCUUCGGUUCUGACUGCUUAGCCAUGGAUCCUGGCGUGCGGGUUGCUACUUCUUAGGGGUACAAUCUGCGUUUUAGCAGAGGGGAGCUAGAGGCAAUAACAGGUCUGUGAUGCCCUUAGAUGUUCGAGGCUGCACGCGCGCUACAAUGGUAUGGUCAGCGAGUUCCUGGCUCGAAAGGGCUGGGGAAUCACAUGAAUCCAUAUCGUGCUGGGGAUAGAUGAUUGCAAUUAUUCGUCUUCAACGAGGAAUUCCUAGUAAGUGCACUUCAUCAGAGUGCGCUGAUUGCGUCCCUGCCCUUUGUACACACCGCCCGUCGCCCCUACCGAUUGAACGAUCCGGUGAAGUGUU
rnacentral:rRNA from 1 species